rnacentral:rRNA from 1 species
UUGCUCUUCAACGAGGAAUUCCUAGUAAGCGUGAGUCAUCAGCUCGCGUUGAUUACGUCCCUGCCCUUUGUACACACCGCCCGUCGCUACUACCGAUUGAAUGGCUUAGUGAGGUCUUGGGAUUGGCUUUGGAGAGCCGGCAACGGCACUCUAUUGCUGAGAACUUGAUCAAACUUGGUCAUUUAGAGGAAGUAAAAGUCGUAACAAGGUUUCCGUAGGUGAACCUGCGGAAGGAUCAUUAUUGAAUUUGAAAGAGGUAUUGUUGCUGGUCUUUCGGGACAUGUGCACGCCUCGCUCAUCUCCAUUCACACCUGUGCACUCUUUGUAGGUUGGUUUUGGACUUGACCUUACGGUCUCGCUUAAGCUUGCCUAUGAUUUUAUACAUACACUCAGUUUAUAGAAUGUCAUUGCGUUAAACGCAUUAUAUACAACUUUCAGCAACGGAUCUCUUGGCUCUCGCAUCGAUGAAGAACGCAGCGAAAUGCGAUAGGUAAUGUGAAUUGCAGAAUUCAGUGAAUCAUCGAAUCUUUGAACGCACCUUGCGCUCCUUGGUAUUCCGAGGAGCAUGCCUGUUUGAGUGUCAUGGAAUUCUCAACCCGUCAGUCUUGUUAUGAGGCUUUGAUGGGCUUGGAUUUGGAGGUUUAUGCUGCAUUUUUAUUAGUGCGGCUCCUCUUGAAUGUAUUAGUAGAACCUGCCGAGCAGUUCUCAGUGUGAUAAUUGUCUACGCUGUGAUUGCGAAAGCAUUAUGGGAUCUGCUUCUAACUGUCUACUUGUUUAGACAAUUUAUUUAACAUCUGACCUCAAAUCAGGUAGGACUACCCGCUGAACUUAAGCAUAUCAAUAAGCGGAGGA